UUGACUUAUAAAAAUAAACAUUUAUUUCUUGCUCACAGGUCUGUGGAUUGGGUAUGGCUCAGCUGGACUUGGCUAGGCUGGGUUUGCCUGGGCUUUGCACCGGGAUGUUGAUUGGAUUCAGGUCUGCUCUAUAUUCUCCUCAUUCUGGGACUCAGAUUGAAGAAGCUGUGGUUCCCUGGAACAAUAUCUUUUGAAUGGUGGCUUGCAAGAGGGAAAACCAAACCAUAGUAAAGACUUCUGAAUUCUAGAGUUGACAUCUCAGGCUAAUGGUCAAUAUUUAUAACUAAGGAGUGCUUUGACCCCAUAUCCAUUUGGCCUCUAGUCUUCUGAGCUGGGUUGUAUUAGAAGUGAGUCUCAAGCUUUCCUUUUAUUUAAUUUGCUCAUUAAUCCUUCUCCCCCCUCCAAAUCCUAUCUUGACUCUGGUACUAUGUAUUUCUACUCUGACAAGGGAGACAUGGAAAAAGAGGUUUUGAUUCAAUCCUGGAUCAGAGCUAGUUUAUAUAUAUUCGUGCCCUCUUUCUCCAUGUCCCUACUCUGGUGGCCUCUGGGCUUUCUGACCCUUAUCUUAAUCACAUGAUCAUAGGAGAAGGAUAAGAUAGAAUAAGUUGAAUCAUGAAAACAAGGAGUAUUCUAAGAGAUCAAAGGGUAAUGCCGCAUUUAAACUCUCUGAGCAUCAUGGUCUAACUGUACAUCUCUAAGGCGUCCAUCUUUCUUAGGUCUAGCAAAGAUGGUGGGGAGAAAGCCUUGAACUUCUCCAGAGGUUCAUGUAGUGUUCUGGACCACAUUGAUUCCAUCUGGACUACAAGGCUCCUUUGGGAUCAGGCUGUUAUAAGAUUAUUUGGGAGUUACCUCAGCUUCAGUCUGAAAUGUGGAAGGGAAACGAGUCACGGAGUGAGUCCUAUUGCAGACUACAUUACCAGUUGCACAACUAUGCUUUGAUUUUUUUUUUUUCUGUAAAACAAAGGAAAACAAAACCAGCUACUUGUGGAAAGAUCAAACAGAAUCCCAAAUGCAAUCUACUCCAUCUCUUCACCAAUAGAUCAUUUCCAACAACUAGACAAAUGCUGGAGGAAGCAGUUGAAAGCUUGCAAGCUUAGGAAGCGUCAUGUUUUGACUGCGGAGAUAGGCCUGUCAGUAAUGCCGCCGUGUGGGCCCAGCAAUAGCGGCCUAUUCAAUGAAUUUUACAUUUUUUCCAGCGUCAUUUCACAGGACAUUCAACGCAGAAACCACAUCCUCCAAAGAACAUUACUCGAUGGACGCGUGAUCCAUCUGCUCCUUCCGCAAAAAGAGAUAGCGCCAGUCCAUGGCAUUCGAGGUUGCAGAGCGCUUCUCCAAGCUUCACACCAGCCCUCGGUGAUUUCUUACAGAUAUUUACUUUCCACACAUGGCAUAUAGAACAUUAAAAAGGUUUUGAAAAAUCCCUCAGUUUUCAACUUCUGAAGGAUUAUUAACUUCAAAGUCUGAAGAAAUGUCGCCCUUCUAUCUUUGGAAAUGCCAGGAGCCUUUGCAUAUCCCUACCACAGGACCAAGCAACCCCCAGCAGAGAAGAACGAUUACUGCUCCGGUGGCGAGAGGAUGGCUUUUGAUCUCUUAACAUAUUGGAAAUUACUUAAAGCAUGUCUCCUGCAGUCCACAUGUAUGACCACUGAAUCAAACUGAUGACAAUCUGAUGUCCCUAGUCUGGACUUUCUUAUGAAUGAAAUCAUAUCAUAUGGGUUGCAGGAAAACUCCUUAAGAAGCCACAGAAGGAUGGAGGACUUGCUUGGGAACAUGGGAAUAGUCUAGAAUCUAAGAAUCUGCACCUCAUUCCGCAGUUGUCCUUAGAAGAAUAGUCAUUCAUAGCAAACCAAAGCUCAACCUCUGAAGGCAGGACCAUGUCUUUAUAUCCCCUUCAGCAUCCAACAUGGUGCCUUGCAUGACGAAAGUGCUCAAUAAAAUGUUUGAUCACACAUGUUGAGAUUAAUAAAUUCCAGAAGAGUGGAGUGGCUUUCAACUCUUAAAGGGUAUUAUCCUUUUUCAUCAACAUGUACUCACAUUUCUCACUGUAUAAUCCCAGAUUCUGAUCCUGGGCCUUUCACCCACCUAUGCCUUCAUUGAUAAUUGCCUGCUCCAGAAGACAUGUAAAAGGAAAUGAGCAUUAUUAAUGGGUUGAAAACCAUUAAGCUCCAAGCACACAGCAUAACUUAUUUAAAUUAUGCAGCAAUUUUAUGAGAUAGGUAUUAUUUUCUCCAUUUUAGAUGAAGAGACUAGAGCUCUAUGAGGUUAAGAGAUUUGACGAAGGCCAUGGAGCGAGGAUGUACGAAAGCCAGGAUUUCAACCCCCAUCUGGAUGAUUUCUGAAGCUUACAUUUUUUCCAUGUCUUCAGAACAGGUCUCAUAUGGACAUCAGGGAAGUCAGGCCUUUCAGGCCUUAGUGGAAUGAAUACUAAUCUAGGUGCAAGUGUUACCUCUUCCAAAACUCUCCUUGUGGUCUGGGCAUAUUGGUUAACCUCUUUAGG